rnacentral:misc_RNA from 1 species
CAACGAUCGGACGAUCAGAAGAAGAAAGCACAUCGGAAGCUCAUCGUGUCUACGCCACGGGCUCAUUCUCGUUCAGGAAGGGAAGACUUGUUCAGUUUUUUGAGCCCUUGUUGUGUUGUGUGUGUGUGUUUGCGGCUGUCGCUUGUGUCGCCUUCAGCCCUUUCCCUUUCGUUCACUCUCAGUCCUUCAUCACUGGAAGUCUGACGGCGUGGAAGGGGGAGCGGUAGAGGAAGCACGCCACCCAACGAACAACACUACACAGAAGACCAGUCGAGACGAGAGCCGCACGAACAUGUCGGGUGCACUGCGCAAGCUGUUCGUCCUCGCCUUUGUGGCGCUGCUUAUCGCGAGCAUCGUCGUGGCGGAGGUGGUGCCAGCGGAAGACAGCAACGCGAUUUACGUCAGUGGCGAGGAGGCGGAUGACAUGUAUGCGGAGUCGGAGGCCGGUGCGGACCGUGCGCCUUACGUGAGCCGCGUCUUGUUCCUUAACGCGUCGUCGCAAUCCUUCCCUUCCUUCCAUGUAGGAUCGAAGGCAAAUGUAGUGAUUGCCUUUCAAAACAACGGCAACGAAGCCUCACAGGUGGUGUUCCUCGUGGUUGGCCUCCUGCAGCCUCCGCAGCAGUACCACACGACUAUUCAGAACUUUUCCGUGGUCCGCCAGGCGCGCGAGGUAAAGAAGUCGGAGACGGUCAGCAUACAGUACACCUUCACCCCGGACGUCCACCUCGAAAGCGGCGAAUUCAACAUGGUGCUCGGCCUCUAUGUACAGGAUUCGGCAACGAACCAGACGUACUUCAUCACGGCCUUCAACUCUACGGUUAUGCUUGAGGACCCCCUCGGCACGGACCCUCGCACGGUCCUCACGUACUUCACCUUGCUCGCCAUCUGUGGCGGCAUCGCGUACGUGGUGGGUGGCAAGUUAGGCGUAGUGAAGAUGAUCAAGGCGAUGAAGCACUCGAAGGGUAACAGCAACGGUAGCGGCAGCGGCGCGAAGCACCUGGAGAUGGGCACUGGAAGCACCGGCUACGAUCCGGCAUACAUCAACGCUGACCACCAGCGCUACCGUGAUGAGGUGCUUCAUAAGAAGUUGUCCACUUCACGCUCUCGUCGUGCGUCUGCGUCGCCAAAGAAGAAGAAAUGAGCGGCUCGCCUGCACGGCGGCCCCUUCACGUGUGUGCGAAGAUGUGCGUAGAGGUGUAUGAUUUCUGUAAUUGGUGUGUAGGGCACCUAGCUGUUCUCGUGUGUGCGUGUGUGUCCUCCCAGACAAGUGCCCUCUCUCUCUUUCUCUGUGUGUCGGGUAUCUGUCGGGAUGGAUGGAGCGCUCUCCGUCGCUCUGCCCUCGUGGCAUUCCUUCUCUUUCCUUCCUCUUUGGUUGCCCUUCGGUUUGUUUAUCUUAGCUGCCUCUCUAUGGGUGCUGGCGGGGCGGGUGAUCGACGCCAUAAUCGCUGCUGGUGCUGGUCUCAUGGAUUCGUGCGGUUUCGCGCACGAUUCUGGGCGUUAUGAGAAUGGGUGCGCCCUCUUCUCUCGCGCUUCGCGGCGUUCUGCCCUCUCCCGCUCUGUCUCCUCCAUUGAAACACCGAAGAUCGCGACGGCAGGCAGAGCAACACGCAUCGCGCAGCGCUAGGUGGGAAGUCAGGAAAGAAAGGCGGUCCAUGGCGUGAUGCGGCACGCGCGUGCUGUGCAGGCGCUGCCUCGUGUAUUGGUCUCCGUGCGUCUUUUUCCGUCAUUGCUACUACUCCGUCAGUCUACUUGUUCUCCACUGCAGUGCCGACAAAGGGGGAGGCGGAGGGCGGAGGGGAUAGAGCGGGGGGGGGGCGGGGGCGUUCUUGAGACAUAAACCGCUCGCCCGCCUUUUUUCGUUCGCUGUCGCUUUCUCUGCGCAAGCUCAAGCUCAUGCUCUCGCGCGCGCGUAUGCGGGCAGGCAGAGGAAGCAAGGGUGGGGGCACUCAGACACACACAAGCACACGCAUAUGUGCAGAAUAGCUUCGGAGCUGGCCGGCGAGAGAUGCGUGUCUGUGCGCGGAGGGGGAGGAGGACAACCGUGUAGCACAUCGAAGUGCGAAGGAGUUUUGACUGGGCUUCUAUUGACUCCUGCGCACUCCUCGGGUGCCGGUUUCCCGACCCGCUCCGCAGGCCUCCCGACGGCCCUUCCUGCCCCACCUCCAAUUCCGCUUCCUCGCCGGCUCUGUGCGUGUGCGGCGGUGGGCGUAGUGUGGGGAGGGACAGGGGGGCCGCUCAAAGCACGGCCGCAUCUGUUUUUCGUACGGGUAUGCGUUUGGGUAUUGGUGACUGCCUCACCCUGUGUGGAUGUCGACGGCAUUUUGCUCUCGUUGGUUGGCUUACUGGCUCACUUCUCUGCAUAUGUGCGUGUGUAGCUGUCACUCCCGUGCUUUGGUGAGGCCACACGCAUCCGGAAGCGGGACGCGAACACGAGUGGCCACCAGCAGCGCAGUCAUGCAUCCUGCCACAAAAAGGGAGGUGGAGAGAGAGGCAGGCGCCAGCAAUGCCGGAUGCAUGCUUGAAAACAACUCUAGAGGCUUCUCUGUUCAUUGUAGUGCGGCGUUCUCACGGUUGUGUGUCUGUGCGUGGUUGAGUUUUUAACGUAUCAACGGACCAAGG